UAAGUGAAGUGCCAUCAAUUGACUCAAAAGGACUUUUGGAAUAAUACACUGAGAUAUGGAUAUAAUGACGGAGAAAAAAUCACACAUCUAACACACCAUAUACGUUGCUAAUGGACAAAAGUGCACGGAAUACCAGCAACCGACUCAAAAGCAUCACAGAGUUAAGGCACUGAGGUACAUAUAUAAGGAAGUAUCACACCGCCAAUACUCCGCAUGUACUAAUAAUGAGCAUCAAGAUGGUAAUGGAGAAUUGCUUCGCGUGGAUCGCCAGCAUCUUCCAGAGAGCUCGUAUGUCGUAGCACUUUUGAAGGAGUCCAGAUUAAUGAGGCCAGAUUACAGCAUCAAAGGGAUGACAGAUUCACACAAUCAUGUGUCACCAUAUAAUUUUACACACGUUAACUAUCAUGCUGUUAUAUGUCAGUUAUGAUUAUCGUCACUAACUGGAUUGCAGAUUACACACUAUUAUAAGAGUUUAGCUAAUUUAA